rnacentral:rRNA from 1 species
GACGAACGCUGGCGGCGUGCUUAACACAUGCAAGUCGAACGGAAAGGCCCUGCUUUUGUUGGGUGCUCGAGUGGCGAACGGGUGAGUAACACGUGAGUAUCCUGCCCUUGACUUUGGGAUAACUUCAGGAAACUGGGGCUAAUACCGGAUAGGAGCUCCUGCUGUAUGGUGGUGGUUGGAAAGUUUCGGCGGUUGGGGAUCGACUCGCGGCUUAUCCGCUUCUUGGUGGGGUAGUGGCUUACCAAGGCUUUGACGGGUAGCCUGCCUGAGAGGGUGACCGGCGACAAUAGGACUGAGAGACGGACCAGAAGGCUACGGGAGGCAGCAGUGGGGAAUAUUGCACAAUAGGCGGAAGCCUGAGGCAGAAACGCCGCGUGCGGGAUGACGGCCUUCGGGUUGUAAACCGAUUUCGCCUGUGACGAAGAGUGAGUGACGGUAAUGGGUAAAGAAGCAACGGCUAACUACGUG